rnacentral:lncRNA from 10 species
CCCUUCUGUUCCUCUCAGGUUUGAGGGGAAGAGCUGAGGAGGGGGUUUUUUUCUUCAGGAAUCCAAAGAACCAAGAGAAGAAAACACCAAAUGUGUUAAUAUGCUUAUCCACCCAUAAGUGUUGUCGAAAACUGGGACCAUGUUCAUAAUGACAAAAAGCAGUCUUCUGUCAAUGGAAAUUUUGUGGCUGAGUCAUUUGUCCUCAUUUUAUAGCUCAUCAGGCCUGAGAAGAACUUCCAGACCCAUCAACUGGAUCCUGGAUGUGCAGCUGAGCCUCUUUCAAAACUGCUGUCACCAUGGACUCCUGCGCAGACCAAACAUCCCUUUUGUGUGGAAUUUCAAUCCCCACGACAACAGUACUGUCCAGAGACAGACAUCCCAUCAUGAUGGAGCAAACCAAGGCUCAAGAACCAAACUAAAGCCAUCGGCCUGGAUCAGCUCAAUUACUUGCCUACUCUGGACCUGAGCAGCUGUGGAUAAAAACAACUGGAGAAAAUCACUCAACAGACAGACUCAAUUUACUUUAAAAUAUGUGAUUUCAAACCUCAAAUGUCCAACUCCUGGCAACUGCACUAUAUUCCCUAAUAAACUUGCUUUCCCAAACUCCAAAACAGAAAUUCACUACUGCUAUCUCUCUCCCCAAACUGGUUUAUUUCUCUGCCUUAAUAUCAUUUUACUUUAUCUCACGCUUCAUUGAAAACCUAAAUACUACUAGAUGAGGACUCCUUUCUCUCUCCACCACCAACUCAGGAAACUUCCCUCCAACUGCCAGUCUGUUAUCCUAUCUCCCCUUUAACUGAGAAAUUGUCCCCCUUCUUAUUAAAGGCCAAUUCUUCCCAAUGAUUUCUUAAAAAUUUCCUGUGCUGCACUGUCAACCCCUCUCUCAAGAAGACUAUCCUUUGUAGAAUAUAAAUGUUUACAGACGUGCCAUCCUUAAACACACACACACACACACCCCUACCUCAAAUCUACAUUUUCUGCUAGUUAUCACCUUUUUUCUCUCCUUCACAGGCAAAAUUCACCAAUGAGUACUGUACCAUAUCUACUUCCUCGUGUCCCAUUCACCACUCCAGCCACUUCUGUUUGGCUUCCAACUUUUCUCCUGCACUCAAACUGGUCCUAUAAUUAUUAGCAAUGAACUCCAUGGUGCCAAGUGGAGUGGCCAUGCCUCAGGAUGGGGAAAAAUAAGAGACGACAAACACUGUAAGUAAGUUAUACAGUGUAUUAGAAGGUGGGAGGUACUAUGAGAAAACCAGAAGUCUCCAGAAAAGGAAGUUGACACAGGCAAAAUACAGGUUCUGUUAACAUUUACUUUAUGUACACUUAUAGAAGUUACAUAUAUAUAGCAAUCAAGCACGAGCUCCCAACUAAUCGAUUUUGCAUUCAACUGCCUAAAGUAUGAAGAGUGAAAACAAAUGUUGGCAAUCUGAUAUGACAACAUUUAUUUGAGUAACACCUUCUUAAAGAUCUGAGAGGUGGUGUACUUACUUUGGAAUUUAUAAUCUUUUCAGUCCUUGUUUCACCCAAGACUAGAAUAUAGGAAGAAUGUGGAGUACCCCCAUCAGUAACAUUGAUU